AUUUUCACUGCCACUACUUUGUAGUGCUUACAGCACAGUGUUUUACAGCGUCUGUUUCACGCACAGUUAUAGGUUGUUAACAUGACAUUUUUAUGCCAUCGCCACAGUUGCAGAAACAACCAUUUGAAGCACACGCAGAGAGAGGAAACGAGAACCAAUUGCGGCGCUGUUGCCAUCGGAGCGGGGUGGUUUGUUUUCCCUUCACUUUCAUCGCUGGCACCUCCCCGUCCACAGUUACCGUAGAAACAAGAGCAACUCCGACUCUAUUUCCAUCCGCGGCUCCCUCCGUCUCCGUCUCUCUCAAUGAUUUAGCAC
ensembl:lncRNA